GAGCAUGCGUACAACUCCAGUAAACACACUGCGCAUGCUCCCCUCCCAAGUGCCCGCAGGUCACUGCAGGUGCAAACGCCCACCACCAAGGGAGGAAUCGGGGGAGAAGGAACGCAAGACCCCGGAGUAAAAUAAGGAAGAAGAGGGGGAAGAUGAGGAUGGAGGAGGAAGGAAGAGCUGAAGUAGACAUUUUUGCGUGGUGUUUCAUUAGAGACUCCGUCAGGAAUGGGACCACCUCAUAGAGUCACACACACAACCCUUCUUUUGGAGCUUGGAAUGCAGAAAACCCAGCAGCACCAGCUCUCUCUUUAGACAAGUACAAGAAGUACAAGAGCUCAAGAACCACUGAACACGGGUACAAGCUAUAACACAGGUCCUACAAAUCAGAUCAUGUGACUAUUCUCUUGCUAAGAAUGUUCAGUGGUUUCCUAUUGCUUACCCUUAAUCUCUGUCUCCAGAAACUUCAAUUUUCCUGCUCCAAUUAUAAUGGUAACAACAACAAACUUCUUGGUCUGAUGACAUAAAGAAAGUGAAGUCUAAGUGAACAAGAAGCAAAGGGAGGAGCAGAAAUGCAACUGGAGGCAGCCAGGUGUCAGCCAAGGCGCUCCAUCAGCUCGUUUCCCUGUGUGAACCAUCUUCAGCAUAAUGCUGGUGUCAAUUUUGAUGCCGUAUCCAUGAAGGCCCACUCAGGAACACAGAAGCGGCACCAGUUAUUCGAACAAGAGUAACUUGACAUGAGAAAUCGAUUAAACAGAUAUGAGAGGACUAAAAAGGCAUGAGAAAACUGCCUGCUUAAAGGAUUCAUCGUGAGAAGCCAGCCCUAUGGGAGUUAUUUACUUAUGAGAAGCUGAGAAACACAGUCUCUAGCUAGGCGACCAUGGCUCAGCUUAAACUGAAUUCAUAUGGAAGAAAGGAAGAUCAAAUUUUAAGGAGCAGUUAGCAGUCUGCCACAAACAGUAUGUAUUCACAGAGUUUUAUAACGUGUCUUAUCUCACAGCUAAAAAGAUAAGAUUCAGCCCACAGCUAAGAGAGCAAGUUUUAGUAACAGCUUCUAGAGAUUGUGAAAUUGACAGAUGAGUGAAUAUGUAUUCACACAGACAUAAUGAGAUUAUAACGUCAUGAUGAAAUCAGAACUCUGUAUUUGCAUUUUAUUUCAAUACAAUGUUUUUCUUGCCAGAUAGAGGAAAGCUCAUUUGUUCUUCUGGAUGCAAGAACAAUGCAAGCAAUUAAAAUAUAGCAACUUGCUACAUAUUUGGAAGACCUAUUUUUAAACAAUAUGAAUAUUAUUUAUUUAAACACUUAGAUUUCCUUGGAGACUUUUACCUCAAGGUCUACACAAACCAAGAAAACAGUUUUAAUUAUUUUAAUUUGAGACAGGUUCUUGCUCUGUCGCCCAGGCUGGAGUGCAGUGACCCUAUCACAGCUCACUGCAGCCUCAACCUCCCCAGGCUCAGGUGAUCCUCCCACUCAGCAUCCCAAGUAGCUGGCACUACAGUUGCAUGCCACCAUGCCCGCCUAAAUUUUCUAUUUUUUGUGUGUGUGUGGAGACAGGGUUUUGCCAGGUUUCCCAGGCUGACUCAAGUAAUCCACUAUCCUGGCCUCCCAAAAUGUUAGGAGUACAGGUGUGAGCCUCUGUGCCUGGCCGAAGAAAACAUUUUUAUAUGGAAAACACUGUAUAAAAAAACCAGGGGAAAGUCUUCCUGUCCUGACACUAUUCAGUCAAAUAUACAAUGUUUGCCAGACUACUGAGGAAAGCCACCAUCUCUGGUGAUGGCCAGCAUUUUCUUUACUGAUGUCAAAUCAGCAGUUAAUAGCGUAACCUCAUUUUGUCUACUUUAUUUUAUAACUAGGUUACAUAGCAGUUCACUAAUAGGUAUGAUACUGAAUAUAUUGCCAGAUACAAGUUGUCAAAAUUGUCUGUGGCCUGAACUCCUAUUAUUUUGGCAUCUCCCUGGUGUUUAUUACUGGCAGAAGUGAAGUUGGUAUUACAAUUGCCUGCAUAUGCUGCUUCACAGAAGAGUAAGGGAUCAAUUUCCUCCUAGUAAAAGAGAUUAUUAAAAAAUAGAAUUAUAAGCAUAAAUUCUAUUUUAAAAUGUUGAGAUAACACUAUUGGCAUAACUUGAAGAUCACACCCAACUAAAGCAUGAACUACAAGUCUUAUUACUUAUUACAAGAUCUUUUAUUACUAUGCAGAGGUUCAGUUGACUACCCUACAAAGAGGGUGAGUAUGUUAAAACACAAAUAGGAAAAACGCGUUCUAUAUACAGUCAUGUGCCUCGGAAUGAUGUUUUAGUCAAUGGACCACGUAUAUAUAUGAGUGGUCACAUAAGAUUAUAAUGCCAUAUUUUCACUGCCCCUUUUCUAUGCUUGGAUAUGUUUAGAUACGUACAUAUUUACCAUUGCC